GUGGGGGAUAUUGCACAAUGGGGGAAACCCUGAUGCAGCGACGCCGCGUGAAGGAAGACGUACUUCGGUAUGUAAACUUCUAUCAGCAGGGAAGAAGAUGACGGUACCUGACUAAGAAGCCCCGGCUAACUACGUGCCAGCAGCCGCGGUAAUACGUAGGGGGCAAGCGUUAUCCGGAUUUACUGGGUGUAAAGGGAGCGUAGACGGUGAAGCAAGUCUGAUGUGAAAACCCGGGGCUCAACUCCGGGAUUGCAUUGGAAACUGUUUUACUUGAGUGCUGGAGGGGCAAGCGGAAUUCCUGGUGUAGCGGUGAAAUGCGUAGAUAUCAGGAAGAACACCGGUGGCGAAGGCGGCUUGCUGGACAGUAACUGACGUUGAGGCUCGAAAGCGUGGGGAGCAAACAGGAUUAGAAACCCGAGUAGUCC
rnacentral:rRNA from 1 species